ensembl:miRNA
UGCAGUGCCCUAUUUAGAACGGUGCUGAUCUGAUGAAUAAAAUAUUGAUCAGUGCCUUUCUGAGUAGAGUAAGGCUUA